GGUUUCGUGGUGUAGUUGGUUAUCACGUGAGUCUAACAAGUCCAGUCUCAGAUUCAAACUGAGAUUCCGGCGGAGCACUCAAGGUCUCCGGUUCGAGCCCGGACGAAAUCA